GGAAUAGAUAACUCUCGCUCACUUCCGCUCUCAUGGAGAGGGAGACGCCGGAGCUCGCGGCGCCGGCGACCUUCCUCCGCGGGGAGGAAGGGGCGUCCUCGGAGUCAGUGCGCGCGCGGUUCGAGCGCAUGAUCCGGCGCGUGCAGGCGGAGGUAUGCGCGGAGCUCGAGGCGGUCGAGGGAGGCGCAAGGGACGGCGGCGGAGGCGCGCUGUUCCGGGAGGACGCCUGGACGCGCCCCGGCGGCGGCGGCGGAAUCAGCCGUGUGCUCCAGGGCGGCCGCGUGUUCGAGAAGGCCGCGGUGAACGUCUCCGUGGUCUACGGGGUCAUGCCUCCUGAGGCGUACCGCGCGGCGAGGCCUGAAGCCGCCGCAGCGGCGGCGGCUGGAGGGGAGAAGGCCGGGCCGGUAGCCUUCUUCGCGGCCGGCGUCAGUUCGAAAUGUGCUUGUUGCUCUCUUAGUCUCUUAUCUACGGGAAGUUCAAAAAUUCAGUACAAGCAGCAUCGAAGUUGAGCAAAAUUCUUACUUUGGGGAAAAAAAAAGAAAAACAUGUGCUCAGUUCUGAACCCAGUUUAUAAUCAAGAAUGUUUUGAUAAGGUUCUUGUUCUGCCUGUCAGGUCAUUCAUCCAGUGAACCCAUUUGCUCCAACAAUGCAUUUCAACUACCGGUAUUUCGAAACAGAGGCACCUAAGAUGCACCUGGUGCACCUAGGCAGUGGUGGUUUGGAGGUGGUACUGACCUGACGCCUUCAUAUAUCAUUGAAGAGGAUAUCAAGCACUUCCAUUCCGUUCAGAAACAAACGUGUGAUAAAUUUGAUCCUAGCUUUUAUCCUAGAUUCAAAAAAUGGUGUGAUGAUUACUUUUAUAUCAAGCAUCGUGGUGAACGGCGUGGGGUGGGUGGAAUAUUUUUUGAUGAUCUUAGUGACUAUGAUCAGGAAACUCUCCUUCAAUUUGCUACAGAAUGUGCAGAUUCAGUUCUACCUGCAUACAUACCCAUUAUAGAAUGCCGCAAAGACAUUCCAUUUACUAAGGAGCACAAGGCAUGGCAGCAGCUACGGAGAGGACGCUAUGUGGAAUUUAACCUCGUUUAUGAUCGGGGAACCACGUUUGGCCUCAAGACUGGAGGACGGAUUGAGAGUAUCCUUGUUUCUCUUCCUCUUACCGCACGGUGGGAGUAUGAUCAUAAACCAGAAGUAGGGAGUGAAGAAUGGAAACUUCUUGACACAUGCAUAAAUCCAAGGGAAUGGAUCUGACUUGUUUAGAAGUUCUUGCUCUUUCAGUACCUUGCUAUUAAAAUGUCACCUUGAUCUUUGUAUGGUUCAUGGGCACAUUGUUUUCAUGUAAGGUCGAAUGCCAUUUUCUUUUCCCUUUUUGUCUUGUGCAAUGUAACUGAUCCGGUUAUAUCUGUCCAAUACAAAGGCACAAACUCUCCUGUGUUUUUCAAGGUAAAAAA